CCUACGGGAGGCAGCAGUGGGGAAUUUUGGACAAUGGGCGCAAGCCUGAUCCAGCAAUGCCGCGUGCAGGAUGAAGGCCUUCGGGUUGUAAACUGCUUUUGUACGGAACGAAACGGUCUGCCCUAAUACGGUGGGCUAAUGACGGUACCGUAAGAAUAAGCCCCG
rnacentral:rRNA from 1 species